CAAUAGUAAUGGUUUAAAACGGACUGAAAAUCCGUGUGUCGGUGGUUCAAUUCCACCUCUGGCCA
rnacentral:tRNA from 1 species